rnacentral:rRNA from 1 species
AUUCCGGUUGAUCCUGCCGGAGGUCAUUGCUAUCGGAGUCCGAUUUAGCCAUGCUAGUUGCACGAGUUUAGACUCGUAGCGGAAAGCUCAGUAACACGUGGUCAAGCUACCCUGUAGCGACGGAUAACCUCGGGAAACUGAGGCUAAUACGUCAUAACGCUCGAGGUCUGGAGAUUGAUUCGAGCCGGAAACGCCUUUGGCGCUACAGGAUGCGACUGCGGUCGAUUAGGUAGACGGUGGGGUAACGGCCCACCGUGCCCAUAAUCGGUACGGGUUGUGAGAGCAAGAGCCCGGAGACGGUAUCUGAGACAAGAUACCGGGCCCUACGGGGCGCAGCAGGCGCGAAACCUUUACACUGUACGGAAGUGCGAUAGGGGGACUCCGAGUGUGUGGGCAUAGAGCUCACACUUUUGUGAACCGUAAGGUGGUUCACGAAUAAGGACUGGGCAAGACCGGUGCCAGCCGCCGCGGUAAUACCGGCAGUCCGAGUGAUGACCGAUUUUAUUGGGCCUAAAGCGUCCGUAGCUGGCCAGGCAAGUCCGUUGGGAAAUCCACCCGCUUAACGGGUGGGCGUCCAGCGGAAACUGCUUGGCUUGGGACCGGAAGAUCCGAGGGGUACGUCCGGGGUAGGAGUGAAAUCCUGUAAUCCUGGACGGACCGCCGAUGGCGAAAGCACCUCGGAAGGACGGAUCCGACAGUGAGGGACGAAAGCUAGGGUCUCGAACCGGAUUAGAUACCCGGGUAGUCCUAGCUGUAAACGAUGUCCGCUAGGUGUGGCACAGGCUACGAGCCUGUGCUGUGCCGUAGGGAAGCCGAGAAGCGGACCGCCUGGGAAGUACGUCUGCAAGGAUGAAACUUAAAGGAAUUGGCGGGGGAGCACUACAACCGGAGGAGCCUGCGGUUUAAUUGGACUCAACGCCGGACAUCUCACCGGCUCCGACAGCAGUAAUGACGGUCAGGUUGACGACCUUACCCGAAGCUGCUGAGAGGAGGUGCAUGGCCGCCGUCAGCUCGUACCGUGAGGCGUCCUGUUAAGUCAGGCAACGAGCGAGACCCGCACGUCUAAUUGCCAGCAACACCCAUGUGGUGGUUGGGUACAUUAGGCGGACUGCCAGUGCCAAACUGGAGGAAGGAACGGGCAACGGUAGGUCAGCAUGCCCCGAAUGAGCCGGGCUACACGCGGGCUACAAUGGCCGAGACAGUGGGUUGCGACACCGAGAGGUGGAGCUAAUCUCCUAAACUCGGUCGUAGUUCGGAUUGAGGGCUGAAACUCGCCCUCAUGAAGCUGGAUUCGGUAGUAAUCGCGUGUCAAGAGCGCGCGGUGAAUACGUCCCUGCUCCUUGCACACACCGCCCGUCAAAGCACCCGAGUGGGGUCCGGAUGAGGCCACCGUCCGGUGGUCAAAUCUGGGCUCCGCAAGGGGGCUUAAGUCGUAACAAGGUAGCCGUAGGGGAAUCUGCGGCUGGAUCACCUCCA